rnacentral:rRNA from 1 species
AACGAACGCUGGCGGCGUGGCUAAGACAUGCAAGUCGCACGAGAAAGGCGGGGCAACUCGCCGAGUAAAGUGGCGGAAGGGUGAGGAAUAUAUAGGUAACGUGCCCUGAGCACUGGGAUAGCUGCGGGAAACUGCAGGUAAUACCAGAUGAGACCACGAUGUCACAUGGCAUUGAGGUCAAUGGACGGGGAUCCGCAAGGACCUGUUGGCUCUCGAGCGGCCUAUAUCCUAUCAGCUAGUUGGUGAGGUAACGGCCCACCAAGGCAACGACGGGUACCGGGACUGAGAGGUUGGCCCGGCACAUUGGCACUGAGACACUGGCCAGACUCCUACGGGAGGCUG